rnacentral:tRNA from 1 species
GGCGCCGAAGCUGAAGGGCGAAGCACCGGCCCGUCACGCCGGAAAGAGUGGGUUCGAGUCCCAUCGGCGCCGCCA